AAAAAAAAAAAAGAAAAAAUGAUUUGAUUUCAAUUGAACCAUAACUUUUUCUCCGAUUUCCAUUUUAAAUUUUUUUGUCUCAUCUUGUCAAUUAUUUGAGCUCGGGGUGCUGCCUCAUUUCUCUCUCUCCUCAUUUCUCUGAAAUAUUGGGAAUCGAGGAAGCACACACGAGAUGAUGUCGAGAAGAGGUUAACACGAAGGGGGGAGGGGGAAGCGUGCUUUACAAAAUUUUUCAGCUUUGUAGAAACAAAUUACACACAUUGAAAGAAAUGCUGCGCAACGAUGUUUCACGGCCACACAUAU
rnacentral:ribozyme from 1 species